rnacentral:rRNA from 1 species
CUCAGGACGAACGCUGGCUGCGUGCUUAACACAUGCAAGUCGAACGCUGAAGCCGACAGCUUGCUGUUGGUGGAUGAGUGGCGAACGGGUGAGUAACACGUGAGUAACCUGCCCCUGAUUUCGGGAUAAGCCUGGGAAACUGGGUCUAAUACCGGAUACGACCUCCUGACGCAUGUUGGGUGGUGGAAAGUUUUUCGAUCGGGGAUGGGCUCGCGGCCUAUCAGCUUGUUGGUGGGGUAAUGGCCUACCAAGGCGACGACGGGUAGCCGGCCUGAGAGGGCGACCGGCCACACUGGGACUGAGACACGGCCCAGACUCCUACGGGAGGCAGCAGUGGGGAAUAUUGCACAAUGGGGGAAACCCUGAUGCAGCGACGCAGCGUGCGGGAUGACGGCCUUCGGGUUGUAAACCGCUUUCAGCAGGGAAGAAGCGAAAGUGACGGUACCUGCAGAAGAAGUACCGGCUAACUACGUGCCAGCAGCCGCGGUAAUACGUAGGGUACGAGCGUUGUCCGGAAUUAUUGGGCGUAAAGAGCUCGUAGGUGGUUGGUCACGUCUGCUGUGGAAACGCAACGCUUAACGUUGCGCGUGCAGUGGGUACGGGCUGACUAGAGUGCAGUAGGGGAGUCUGGAAUUCCUGGUGUAGCGGUGAAAUGCGCAGAUAUCAGGAGGAACACCGGUGGCGAAGGCGGGACUCUGGGCUGUAACUGACACUGAGGAGCGAAAGCAUGGGGAGCGAACAGGAUUAGAUACCCUGGUAGUCCAUGCCGUAAACGUUGGGCACUAGGUGUGGGGGACAUUCCACGUUCUCCGCGCCGUAGCUAACGCAU